CGGGGGGGGCCUACCAUGCAAGUCGAACGGUAACAGGAAACAAGCUUGCUUUUUUGCUGACGAGUGGCGGACGGGUGAGUAAUGUCUGGGAAACUGCCUGAUGGAGGGGGAUAACUACUGGAAACGGUAGCUAAUACCGCAUAACGUCGCAAGACCAAAGAGGGGGACCUUCGGGCCUCUUGCCAUCGGAUGUGCCCAGAUGGGAUUAGCUAGUAGGUGGGGUAACGGCUCACCUAGGCGACGAUCCCUAGCUGGUCUGAGAGGAUGACCAGCCACACUGGAACUGAGACACGGUCCAGACUCCUACGGGAGGCAGCAGUGGGGAAUAUUGCACAAUGGGCGCAAGCCUGAUGCAGCCAUGCCGCGUGUAUGAAGAAGGCCUUCGGGUUGUAAAGUACUUUCAGCGGGGAGGAAGGGAGUAAAGUUAAUACCUUUGCUCAUUGACGUUACCCGCAGAAGAAGCACCGGCUAACUCCGUGCCAGCAGCCGCGGUAAUACGGAGGGUGCAAGCGUUAAUCGGAAUUACUGGGCGUAAAGCGCACGCAGGCGGUUUGUUAAGUCAGAUGUGAAAUCCCCGGGCUCAACCUGGGAACUGCAUCU
rnacentral:rRNA from 1 species